AGCACCGCUCCGAUGAACUCUAUUCUCUGUACCGAGAUGAGGUUUGACGUCUGAUACUUUAUCAAUAGACCCAGUGUUUGAAAGGUUGCCUGAAUGAGGUGGAUAUUGUUCUUCCCCUGCGCCUUGGACUGGCCUUUGAUCAGCCAGUCAUCGAGGUACAGGUAAAUUUGCACCCCUCGCUUUCUUACAAAGGCAGCAACUACUGCCAUGCAUUUCACGAAGACCUGUGUGGCUGCCAACAGGCCAGAUGGGAGAACAGCGAACUGGUCAUGGGUCUGAUUCACAAAAAUCUGAGAAAACUUCUGUGCCCUCAGAAAAUCAAGCAAUGAAAAUAGCCGUCUGUCAAAUGGAGGAUGGUGUACCAGUCCCUGAGAUCCAGGGAGGGAACGAUGGAGGCCAGGGAGACCAUGCAGAACUUUUAGCUUUUUGAGACAGCUGUUGAGGCAGCACAGGUCUAAAAUGCCUCUAUUUUGCUUCUUGUGCAGAUCCUGACAGGGUGGUAGAGCUGAGAAAUGGGUGAGCUGUUAAGGCCUGAAAUAUUUCCUCGAAAGGCACCAUGGCAGAGAGACUCAGGGACUUCAGGGUCGCUCUGGAGUCCUUCCAGACAUGGAGCUUCACAUCUGUUGGCUCUGAGAAGAGUGAGGACCCUUCAAACAGAAGACCCUGAAGGGAUUGCUGGACCUCCACAGAACAGGCCUUCUUGACCUCCAUCCAUCAGCCAUGGAGUAACCAGGCUUUAAGGUUGGGGUUCGGGUGACGGACUCAUCCCGCAUCUUGUGAUAGACGGUACUGUGACAGACUCAGACCAGAAGGAUAUAAGAGAGUAGUGGAAGGGAGGUAUAUCAGCCUCAGAAUGAGUAGAUCCCUGUCCCCUGGAUAGCCAAACAAAGGCUACUCCAGGCCAAUCAAGACGCCUGACACCAAAUUAACCAGUUAAGGUAGUUAGGCUAAUACCAGCACCUGACCUCAAUUAACUGGCAAAGGGUCAGUUAAGGCCAUUAGGUUAACGGAGACAGCUGGAACCAAUUAAGGUCCUACUCAUACUGCUUAAAAGCUCUCCUUUCCAGUUCUCUUGAGAAGCCCAGGUGAAGGGAGCUGAAGGAGAGGGAGUAUUGCUGAAUCCUGAGGUAAGGGUGAAGCUUGGGAAAAGGCGACCAUGGAGAAGCGGCCCAGAGAACCAAAGCAGCAUCAUCGGUGAAGGGAAAAAGCCACCAACAGCUGCUACCAUUAGGGUCCCUGGGCUGGAACCCCGAGUAGAGGGCAGGCCCGGGUUUCCCCCUUCCCCCUCACUCUACUUCCCCUCUCAAGGGGAAUCUCUAUAGACUUUGGUUCAGGCAAGAGACCAAACUGAACCUACUGAGCUCUAAGGAACAACAGAGACUGUGGGUAUUCCACCUUCCAUGCUGGCCUGUGAUGAAAGUAGCUCAAUAAGCUGUGACCUUUGCUGCUAUACUGGGAAAGGAAGGUCAUAUUGAGGGUGUUAGUGAGCUUCUGAGGCCACUGAAUCCACCUGGAAGCACGGGACCCACCAAUACAGGCUCGGAGCUUUGUCACAGUACGUAAAUGCCAAGGGUUUUUAAGGUCGCCCUUGAGUCUUUUACACGGGACCCACCAAUACAGGCUUGGAGCUUUGUCACAGUACGUAAAUGCCAAGGGUUUUUAAGGUCGCCCUUGAGUCUUUUAGGGUGUGUAACGAAACAUCGGUUUUGUCUGCAAAUAAUUUCUGCCCCUCAAAGGGUAAAUCCUCAACCGUUGUCUGGACCUCCCUUGGGAGCCUGGAGAGGUGGAGCCAUGAUGCAUGCUGCAUGACCACGGAUGUCACAAUGGAUCAUGCUGCCGUGUCUGCCGAGUCAAGGAGGUCUGGAGGGCCCUCCUGGCAAUGAGACCCCCUUCAGAAAUGUUUGCAUUCUACUGUUCUUUUUUGUCAUCUUGUAAAUUUUCAAUAAAAGUUGACCUUUUGGAGAA